CCACGAUGCCGGCGCCGAUCGAGUCUCCCAGGACGUUGGUGGUGGUCCGAAGGCGGUCCCUGACCGGAGAGACGGGUUCUGGUCAGAUCUGUCAUUACACCAGGCUGUAAAGAGAAACCCUGCAGGUUGUAAGAAGUGCUGAUGAAGACGAGGUCAAACGUUGUUCAUCUGAACUCACUGACCUGCUGUGUGCAGGCCUGGACCAGGUUUGGAGGGAACAUGUUUCUGAAA